rnacentral:misc_RNA from 1 species
CGCACAUUGCGCCCCUUGGUAUUCCAUGGGGUAUGCCUGUUCGAGCGUCAUUUGUACCCUCAAGCUUUGCUUGGUGUUGGGUGUUUGUCCCGUGCUUGUGCGUGGACUCGCCUUAAAGCGAUUGGCAGCCGGCAUUGUAGUCUUGUAGCGCAGCACAAUUUGCGCUCUAAGCUAUAAGUGUUGGCGUCCAUAAAGCCUAUACAUUUGCUCUUGACCUCGGAUCAGGUAGGGAUACCCGCUGAACUUAA